rfam:Lepisosteus oculatus linkage group LG6, whole genome shotgun sequence.
GCCAGCAGCCAUAUCACCCUGCAACUCACAACUGGCAGCCCACUGAAGCUCAGCAGGUGUGAGCCUGGUCAGUACCUGGAUGGGAGACCUCCUGGGAAAAACUAAGGCUUCUGCUGGAA